CUUUAAGAAAAAAAACAAACAGUACUUUUACUGUACUUAUGUAAAUAUAGAAUGGGAGUCACUUUGCACUUUAUUGUACAUAAGAAACACAGUCACUUUACAAUAAAAUACACAGUAAAGCAUUUAAGUGCACGGAAUGGAUAUGUCACUUUAAAUAUGGCCGAAAAGACAUCGGCAGAAUACGUUUUUAGAAUGACUUGGAAUUAUAUAUAUCUGGUAUAGCUUUUUGAGUUUUGGUCUGAAAUCAUGAAAACAAGGAAGAAUCUUGUACAGGAAAGGCCUCUAAUUAGUUAAUAGUAAUGGUUGUGUUUUUAAAGUUUUAAAUGUCCUCAUGAUUAGGUAUGUUUGAUUUGUAUGGCUGCAUGUAAGUUAAAUGACCGGC